UUUUUUUUCUUUUGGAAGAUGAGUCUAAUGAGUUUUGAAGUUUCAGAAGACAAUGUUCUCUCUGCACCUGUGUGAAUGUUUUGUCGGAAUCAAUUAUGGAGUAUGUAAUUAUAUGGAUAUUGAAUAAUUAGUGCAAAACUCAUUGGAAAUGCCAAAGUUAAACAAGUUCUCUCUUGCAUAUGAAGACAGUUGCUCUAAUGGGUCAAGUUUCAUUAGCUAAUGCUGCCAGUCACACAAAGAGAUAGUCUGGCGAUAUUUAUACAUCAUGGAUCAUGAGUCAAACACCUUUCCAAUUCAUCUGAGUCACUUUUCGCUGUGACAGAAAACAUGUUCUCCAAGGUCCUUAGCAGUUUCUUUCAGCAAUUAUGCAGCAUGAUGAGUCCUUGCAGUCAUGAUGGCUACAUCUCUAUUCUAUCAGACAUCUUUAUUAAAUUAGUUUAUUAUUAUGCUCAUGAUUCCCCUGGGUGAACAAAAUCUAAGAAAAAUAACUAUAGUAAAAUAGUUCCCCAUAUGAGAGACCAUGUUUUUAUCUAUUAAUUUUGAGCUGGAAAAUGCAAACACAAGGAAGAAAAGCAUAUAUUCUUUUGUUUUUGUCCUCCUAUAUGUCAUUUUCUAAUCAAUGAAGAUCUAAAUAUUUUCAAUAAUGUCCCAGUAGAAUAUAAAUUACACAGGAAUAGAGACAUUAUCUCUACUUCUGUUCACCAAUGCAUCUCCAUGACUCAAGUAUAGUUUGUCUGAAGAAGCAGGUGCUCAUAUCAUACAAAUAUCAGAAAAAAAUGCAGGGACAGUAUUAUCAUGAAUGUUAAGUGAAUGUCAUGC
rnacentral:lncRNA from 1 species